rnacentral:rRNA from 1 species
UACGUAGGGGGCAAGCGUUAUCCGGAAUUACUGGGUGUAAAGGGUGAGUAGGCGGCAUGGUAAGCCAGAUGUGAAAGCCUUGGGCUUAACCCGAGGAUUGCAUUUGGAACUAUCAAGCUAGAGUACAGGUGAGGAAAGCGGAAUUCCUAGUGUAGCGGUGAAAUGCGUAGAUAUUAGGAAGAACACCAGUGGCGAAGGCGGCUUUCUGGACUGAAACUGACGCUGAGGCACGAAAGCGUGGGGAGCGAACAGG